UGAGGGCUGGACCGGAAGUUUGGGUUCUGAACAGGAAGUGAGGGCUGGACCGGAAGUGAAUGCGUAUUCUGACCGGAAGUGGGGUCUGAACCGGAAGUUGGUCCCCGCUGACCGGAAGGAGCCUCCAUCACCGCACAGCGCCAUGGAGAGCGGAGAGCAGAGUGAGGGCACGGCCCUGCGCCACGUCCCUGUGUCCCCAUGUCUCCAUGUCCCCACGUGUCCCCUCCCCACAGGACCCUCCCGUGGCGGUGACACGGAGUUGCCCACCCCACAGCCACCGGGUACAUGCGCGUCCCCUCCGCGUCCCCAGGCUGUCCCGUGUCCCUGCACGUCCCCACGUGUCCCCUCCCCCCCCACACACAGGGGCUCCACAGGUGGAGGCGCUGCUGGGACAGAUCCAUGCUCUGCACCGGGGUGAGCGACGUGGCCCCGUGUCCCUGUGACGUCCCCACCAUGUCCCCGUGUCCCCGCCAUCUCCCCAUGAUGCCCCCAUGUCAUCACCCCAUGUCCCCACAGCAUCCCCACACCUCCGUGUCCCCAUGAUGUCCCCAUCUCCCCCCAUGUCCCCAUGUCCUCAUGAUGUCCCCAUGUCCACACCAUGUCCCCAUCCCCCCCAUGUCCCCAUGCCCCCCCCAUGUCCCCAUCUCACCAUAUACCCCCAUGUCCCCAUGAUGUCCCCAUGUCCCCACCACGUCCCCAUGUCCCCACAGUGCCCCCACACCUCCAUGUCCCCAUGGUGUCCCCGUGUCCCCAUCACGUCCCCAUGUCCCUGUGUCCCCAUCAUGUCCCUAUGUCCCCAUGUCCCCCCCAUCUCCCCAUGUCCUCGUGUCCCCAUGUCCCCAUGAUGUCCCCAUGUCCUCACAGUGUCCCCACAUCUCCAUGUCCCCAUGAUGUCCCCAUGUCCCCCCCGUGUCCCCCUGUCCCCCCCAUGUCCCCAUGUCCCCCUGUCCCCGGUGGCGCUGUGGUGGCGGUGCUGUGCUCAGGCUGCCAGGCUGGGGCGCAGGAGCUGGCACGGACACAGGAGAGGAGCGAGGAGAUGAGACAGCACCUGGAACAGCUGGAGGAGCGGCAGGCGGAGCUGCAGGCGCUGUGGCAGCAGCAGCAGGGCGCCGCCAGCUGUGCCUGGGGCAGCAGCGCCACCUGGAGGGGGCGGGGGAGAGCAGGGCAAAAAUCAGGGAGCUGCGGCGGGGACACAGGGAGGACUUCGUGCAGCAGCUGGAGACGCUGAUGGACGAGCACAAGCGGCUGCAGCGCCAGCACGUGAGAGCCCGCCCCACAUCUCACCCCACAGCGCCCCACAUUGCCCCGCAGCGCCUCAUGUGUCACCCCACAGCGUCCAACUUCACCCCACAUGUCACCCCAUGUUACCCCACAGCGCCCCACAGCGCCCCUCAUUGCCCCGCUGCACCCCACGUCACCCCACUGCGCCCGACGUGUCACCCCACGUCACCCCACAGUGCCCCACUGCGCCCCACAUCUCACCCCACUGCGCCCCACUACACCCCACAUCUCACCCCACUGUGCCCCACUGCGCCCCAUGUCACCCCACAGCGCCCCACAGUGCCCCACGUGUCACCUCAUGUCACCCCACAUUGCUCCACAGCGCCCCACAUUUCCCCACGUGUCACCCCACACCAACCCACAUUGCCCCACAGCGCCCCACGUGUCACUCCUUGUCACCCCUUGUCACCCCCCGUGUCCCCACAGUCCCCGGUGGCGCUGGUGGCCGCGCUGUCCCAGCUGCAGCUGACACGGGAUGAGCUGCUGAACCAGGGUGAGCACACAUGGCCCCAAAUGUCCCCAGACAGCCAUGCAAUGUCCCCAAAUGUCCCCAAAUAUUCAUAUAAUGUCUCCAAAUGUUCCCAGAUAUCCAUGCAAUGUCCCCAAAUGUCCCCAAAUGUCCCCAGAUAUCCAUGCAAUAUCCCCCCAAUGUCCCCAAAUA
ensembl:lncRNA